rnacentral:rRNA from 5 species
AGAGUUUGAUCAUGGCUCAGAUUGAACGCUGGCGGCAGGCCUAACACAUGCAAGUCGAACGGUAACAGAAAGCAGCUUGCUGCUUUGCUGACGAGUGGCGGACGGGUGAGUAAUGUCUGGGAAACUGCCUGAUGGAGGGGGAUAACUACUGGAAACGGUAGCUAAUACCGCAUAACGUCGCAAGACCAAAGAGGGGGACCUUCGGGCCUCUUGCCAUCGGAUGUGCCCAGAUGGGAUUAGCUUGUUGGUGGGGUAACGGCUCACCAAGGCGACGAUCCCUAGCUGGUCUGAGAGGAUGACCAGCCACACUGGAACUGAGACACGGUCCAGACUCCUACGGGAGGCAGCAGUGGGGAAUAUUGCACAAUGGGCGCAAGCCUGAUGCAGCCAUGCCGCGUGUAUGAAGAAGGCCUUCGGGUUGUAAAGUACUUUCAGCGGGGAGGAAGGGAGUAAAGUUAAUACCUUUGCUCAUUGACGUUACCCGCAGAAGAAGCACCGGCUAACUCCGUGCCAGCAGCCGCGGUAAUACGGAGGGUGCAAGCGUUAAUCGGAAUUACUGGGCGUAAAGCGCACGCAGGCGGUUUGUUAAGUCAGAUGUGAAAUCCCCGGGCUCAACCUGGGAACUGCAUCUGAUACUGGCAAGCUUGAGUCUCGUAGAGGGGGGUAGAAUUCCAGGUGUAGCGGUGAAAUGCGUAGAGAUCUGGAGGAAUACCGGUGGCGAAGGCGGCCCCCUGGACGAAGACUGACGCUCAGGUGCGAAAGCGUGGGGAGCAAACAGGAUUAGAUACCCUGGUAGUCCACGCCGUAAACGAUGUCGACUUGGAGGUUGUGCCCUUGAGGCGUGGCUUCCGGAGCUAACGCGUUAAGUCGACCGCCUGGGGAGUACGGCCGCAAGGUUAAAACUCAAAUGAAUUGACGGGGGCCCGCACAAGCGGUGGAGCAUGUGGUUUAAUUCGAUGCAACGCGAAGAACCUUACCUGGUCUUGACAUCCACAGAACUUUCCAGAGAUGGAUUGGUGCCUUCGGGAACUGUGAGACAGGUGCUGCAUGGCUGUCGUCAGCUCGUGUUGUGAAAUGUUGGGUUAAGUCCCGCAACGAGCGCAACCCUUAUCCUUUGUUGCCAGCGGUCCGGCCGGGAACUCAAAGGAGACUGCCAGUGAUAAACUGGAGGAAGGUGGGGAUGACGUCAAGUCAUCAUGGCCCUUACGACCAGGGCUACACACGUGCUACAAUGGCGCAUACAAAGAGAAGCGACCUCGCGAGAGCAAGCGGACCUCAUAAAGUGCGUCGUAGUCCGGAUUGGAGUCUGCAACUCGACUCCAUGAAGUCGGAAUCGCUAGUAAUCGUGGAUCAGAAUGCCACGGUGAAUACGUUCCCGGGCCUUGUACACACCGCCCGUCACACCAUGGGAGUGGGUUGCAAAAGAAGUAGGUAGCUUAACCUUCGGGAGGGCGCUUACCACUUUGUGAUUCAUGACUGGGGUGAAGUCGUAACAAGGUAACCGUAGGGGAACCUGCGGUUG